AUGUCUCCUCCGCACAGUCCUGCUCGGGCGCGCCGUCUGUAUCGAGCUGACGACCGCUCGCUACGUUCUGCCAGCG
rnacentral:sRNA from 2 species